rnacentral:rRNA from 1 species
CAGUGGGGAAUAUUGCACAAUGGGCGAAAGCCUGAUGCAGCAACGCCGCGUGAGCGAUGAAGGCCUUUGGGUCGUAAAGCUCUGUCCUUGGGGAAGAAAAAAAUGACGGUACCCAAGGAGGAAGCCCCGGCUAACUACGUGCCAGCAGCCGCGGUAAUACGUAGGGGGCAAGCGUUAUCCGGAAUUAUUGGGCGUAAAGAGUACGUAGGUGGUCUUUUAAGCGCAGGGUUUAAGGCAAUGGCUUAACCAUUGUUCGCCCUGUGAACUGGAAGACUUGAGUGUAGGAGAGGAAAGUGGAAUUCCUAGUGUAGCGGUGAAAUGCGUAGAUAUUAGGAGGAACAUCAGUGGCGAAGGCGACUUUCUGGACUAUUACUGACACUGAGGUACGAAAGCGUGGGGAGCAAACAGGAUUAGA